rnacentral:rRNA from 1 species
UUCAGGAUGAACGCUAGCUACAGGCUUAACACAUGCAAGUCGAGGGGCAUCAGGAAGAAAGCUUGCUUUCUUUGCUGGCGACCGGCGCACGGGUGAGUAACACGUAUCCAACCUGCCCUUUACUCGGGGAUAGCCUUUCGAAAGAAAGAUUAAUACCCGAUAGCAUAAUGAUUCCGCAUGGUUUCAUUAUUAAAGGAUUCCGGUAAAGGAUGGGGAUGCGUUCCAUUAGGUUGUUGGUGAGGUAACGGCCCACCAAGCCUUCGAUGGAUAGGGGUUCUGAGAGGAAGGUCCCCCACAUUGGAACUGAGACACGGUCCAAACUCCUACGGGAGGCAGCAGUGAGGAAUAUUGGUCAAUGGGCGCUAGCCUGAACCAGCCAAGUAGCGUGAAGGAUGAAGGCUCUAUGGGUCGUAAACUUCUUUUAUAUAAGAAUAAAGUGCAGUAUGUAUACUGUUUUGUAUGUAUUAUAUGAAUAAGGAUCGGCUAACUCCGUGCCAGCAGCCGCGGUAAUACGGAGGAUCCGAGCGUUAUCCGGAUUUAUUGGGUUUAAAGGGAGCGUAGGUGGACUGGUAAGUCAGUUGUGAAAGUUUGCGGCUCAACCGUAAAAUUGCAGUUGAUACUGUCAGUCUUGAGUACAGUAGAGGUGGGCGGAAUUCGUGGUGUAGCGGUGAAAUGCUUAGAUAUCACGAAGAACUCCGAUUGCGAAGGCAGCUCACUGGACUGCAACUGACACUGAUGCUCGAAAGUGUGGGUAUCAAACAGGAUUAGAUACCCUGGUAGUCCACACAGUAAACGAUGAAUACUCGCUGUUUGCGAUAUACAGUAAGCGGCCAAGCGAAAGCAUUAAGUAUUCCACCUGGGGAGUACGCCGGCAACGGUGAAACUCAAAGGAAUUGACGGGGGCCCGCACAAGCGGAGGAACAUGUGGUUUAAUUCGAUGAUACGCGAGGAACCUUACCCGGGCUUAAAUUGCAGUGGAAUGAUGUGGAAACAUGUCAGUGAGCAAUCACCGCUGUGAAGGUGCUGCAUGGUUGUCGUCAGCUCGUGCCGUGAGGUGUCGGCUUAAGUGCCAUAACGAGCGCAACCCUUAUCUUUAGUUACUAACAGGUUAUGCUGAGGACUCUAGAGAGACUGCCGUCGUAAGAUGUGAGGAAGGUGGGGAUGACGUCAAAUCAGCACGGCCCUUACGUCCGGGGCUACACACGUGUUACAAUGGGGGGUACAGAAGGCAGCUAGCGGGUGACCGUAUGCUAAUCCCAAAAUCCUCUCUCAGUUCGGAUCGAAGUCUGCAACCCGACUUCGUGAAGCUGGAUUCGCUAGUAAUCGCGCAUCAGCCACGGCGCGGUGAAUACGUUCCCGGGCCUUGUACACACCGCCCGUCAAGCCAUGGGAGCCGGGGGUACCUGAAGUACGUAACCGCAAGGAUCGUCCUAGGGUAAAA